ACCCGCUGAACUUAAGCAUAUCAAUAAGCGGAGGAAAAGAAACCAACAGGGAUUGCCCCAGUAACGGCGAGUGAAGCGGCAACAGCUCAAAUUUGAAAUCUGGCUCUCGGGCCCGAGUUGUAAUUUGUAGAGGAUGCUUUUGGUGAGGUGCCUUCCGAGUUCCCUGGAACGGGACGCCAUAGAGGGUGAGAGCCCCGUCUGGUUGGACGCCGAACCUCUAUAAAGCUCCUUCGACGAGUCGAGUAGUUUGGGAAUGCUGCUCUAAAUGGGAGGUAUAUGUCUUCUAAAGCUAAAUACCGGCCAGAGACCGAUAGCGCACAAGUAGAGUGAUCGAAAGAUGAAAAGAACUUUGAAAAGAGAGUUAAACAGUACGUGAAAUUGUUGAAAGGGAAGCGCUUGUGACCAGACUUGGGCUUGGUUGAUCAUCCGGGGUUCUCCCCGGUGCACUCUUCCGGCCCAGGCCAGCAUCAGUUCGCCCUGGGGGACAAAGGCUUCGGGAACGUGGCUCUCUCCGGGGAGUGUUAUAGCCCGUUGCGUAAUACCCUGUGGCGGACUGAGGUUCGCGCAUUCGCAAGGAUGCUGGCGUAAUGGUCAUCAGUGACCCGUCUUGAAACACGGACCAAGGAGUCGUCUUCGUAUGCGAGUGUUCGGGUGUCAAACCCCUACGCGAAAUGAAAGUGAACGCAGGUGAGAGCUUCGGCGCAUCAUCGACCGAUCCUGAUGUUAUCGGAUGGAUUUGAGUAAGAGCAUACGGGGCCGGACCCGAAAGAAGGUGAACUAUGCCUGUGUAGGGUGAAGCCAGAGGAAACUCUGGUGGAGGCUCGCAGCGGUUCUGACGUGCAAAUCGAUCGUCAAACAUGGGCAUGGGGGCGAAAGACUAAUCGAACCUUCUAGUAGCUGGUUUCCGCCGAAGUUUCCCUCAGGA
rnacentral:rRNA from 1 species